GGGCCCUUAGUUCAUUUGGUAGAAUGCUUCCAUGGCAUGGAAGAGGUGACCGGUUCAAAUCCGGUAGGGUCCACCA
rnacentral:tRNA from 5 species